UUAGAGUUUGAUCCUGGCUCAGGAUGAACGCUAGCGGCAGGCUUAACACAUGCAAGUCGAGGGAGAAUCGGAGUAGCAAUACAAAGAGGAAACCGGCGGAAGGGUGCGUAACGCGUGAGCAACUUGCCCGUAUCAGGGAGAUAACCGGUGGAAACGCCGACUAAUAUCCCAUAACAACAGAGAGCGCAUGCUUUUUGUUUGAAAGAAUUUCGGAUACGGAUGGGCUCGCGUGACAUUAGCUAGUUGGAGUGGUAACGGCACACCAAGGCUACGAUGUCUAGGGGUUCUGAGAGGAAGAUCCCCCACAUCGGUACUGAGACACGGACCGAACUCCUACGGGAGGCAGCAGUGAGGAAUAUUGGACAAUGGGGGCAACCCUGAUCCAGCCAAACCGCGUGAGGGAUGAAGGUCCUACGGAUCGUAAACCUCUUUUAUGUGGGAAUAAUUGCUGAUAUGCAUAUCAGCUUGAAGGUACCACUUGAAUAAGCAUCGGCUAACUCCGUGCCAGCAGCCGCGGUAAUACGGAGGAUGCAGGCGUUAUCCGGAUUUAUUAGGUUUAAAGGGUGCGCAGGCGGGACAUUAAGUCGGUGGUGAAAUACCGUGGCCCCAACCACGGGGCUGCCAUUCGAUACUGAUGACCUUGAGUGCGUGUGACGUAGGCGGAAUGUGGAGUGUAGCGGUGAAAUGCUUAAAAUAUUCCACAGAACACCGAUUGCGAAGGCAGCCUACGAAUGCGUAACUGACGCUCAUGCACGAAAGCGCGGGUAGCGAACAGGAUUAGAUACCCUGGUAGUCCGCGCGGUAAACGAUGAUCACUCAUUGUUAGCCCUCUUUUGGGCUAGUGACCAAGCGAAAGCGAUAAGUGAUCCACCUGGGGAGUACGCCGGCAACGGUGAAACUCAAAGGAAUUGACGGGGGCCCGCACAAGCGGAGGAACAUGUGGUUUAAUUCGAUGAUACGCGAGGAACCUUACCCGGGCUCAAACGCAGACGGACAGAUUCAGAAAUGGAUUCUUCCUUCGGGACUGUCUGCGAGGUGCUGCAUGGUUGUCGUCAGCUCGUGCCGUGAGGUGUCGGGUUAAGUCCCAUAACGAGCGCAACCCUUGUCUUUAGUUACCAGCGAGUAAUGUCGGGGACUCUAGAGAGACUGCCGGUGUAAACCGUGAGGAAGGUGGGGAUGACGUCAAAUCAGCACGGCCCUUACGUCCGGGGCGACACACGUGUUACAAUGGUCGGUACAAAGAGUUGCAAUACAGCGAUGUAAAGCUAAUCUCAAAAAGCCGAUCUCAGUUCGGAUCGUAGGCUGGAACUCGCCUACGUGAAGUUGGAUUCGCUAGUAAUCGCGCAUCAGCCAUGGCGCGGUGAAUACGUUCCCGGGCCUUGUACACACCGCCCGUCA
rnacentral:rRNA from 1 species